rnacentral:lncRNA from 13 species
ACGACUGAAAGGGCUGGAGAAAAGAGUGGGCUGAAAGACAACCAGAACCCAGUGGGUGAAGGCAGAGACCAAUCUGCUAAGGGCAUUCCUAGAGAGGAUGCAGAUGUAGUGGAUGGAGAGGCACAAACAGGGGAAUUGUUACAAAUGUGCCAGAUCAAAGCUGUGAAGUCGGUCCUGAGGGGUGUUUGGAGACUGUGAUGGAGGUCUCU